UAUUGUUAAUAAGAUAUUGGUACGUAAAUAAUUAAGGCUAGUACGAGUCUAAAUUAUAUUGCUAGCAUAUUAAAUUUCGGUUAUGUAAAUCAGUUGGUAGAUGUAUAGUUUUGUUCAGAACCAGAGAUUAUAAAUAUUGCGGGUUAGCUAAAAUAAAUAUUUCGAUAUAAUUUUUUAACGCUCUAAAAUAUUUAGAAAAGUAUUGGAAUAAUUAUUCAAUUAAUUAUUCUAGUAUUUUUUUUUAUAAUCUCAAAAGAUAUAUAUUCUAAUAGGAAUCGUUAAGUGAGUCGGGACUGAAAUAUUGGUAAAUAAACGAAACAGGAGUAAUUAAAACGAGACGUAACUACGGUGCGAGAUAAUAAUUAAAUAAAAUAAUUUAAAUACAAAACCAUUAAACAAGCCGGUGGUUUUGAUUGCACACUGGAAUUAGAAAACUUGGUGCCCUGUUGUGUAGCGGCCAAGUAAUUAUCUAAUUAAGGUUAAUUAAAAAGAGUUAUUAGAGGCUAACUGUGAUUAAGUGGUAGUAUAAAAACCAACCCAAAAGAGUGGUUCACCAUUUUGGCUCAGUAAAGAAAGAAAUGGUACUAGUACAUACUCGUUAAGCAAGAGAAAAGGAUAAGACAAGUAAAGAGUGAGUAUGGCACAACUCAAGAGAAUCGCCCGGAAGCGGGUUUUGGCAAGUAAAAUGACAAGGCACAUCACAUGAGCUGAAGCUGCUAGGCAACGCUGUUUGGUGAUGCCAACUAUAGUUAUUAUAAUAGUCUGUUAUCAGACUCGCUAUUAUGUAAUAAACUUAGACUUGGUAGUAGUGUUGUAAACGAUCGACCCAGGACUUGUGGGGCAAGAGUUGGUUUGUAUAAAUAUUAAAAUGUAAUGCAAGUGUUGUUUUGAGCUA